CCUACGGGUGGGCUGCAGUGGGGAAUAUUGGACAAUGGGGGGAACCCUGAUCCAGCCAUGCCGCGUGUGUGAAGAAGGCCCUCGGGUUGUAAAGCACUUUCAGUGAGGAAGAACGCCUGGUGGUUAAUACCCAUCAGGAAAGACAUCACUCACAGAAGAAGCACCGGCUAACUCCGUGCCAGCAGCCGCGGUAAUACGGAGGGUGCGAGCGUUAAUCGGAAUUACUGGGCGUAAAGCGCGCGUAGGUGGCUUGAUAAGCCGGUUGUGAAAGCCCCGGGCUCAACCUGGGAACGGCAUCCGGAACUGUCAAGCUAGAGUGCAGGAGAGGAAGGUAGAAUUCCCGGUGUAGCGGUGAAAUGCGUAGAGAUCGGGAGGAAUACCAGUGGCGAAGGCGGCCUUCUGGACUGACACUGACACUGAGGUGCGAAAGCGUGGGUAGCAAACAGGAUUAGAUACCCCAGUAGUC
rnacentral:rRNA from 1 species